GGUGGAGUCAGUUAACGGAAGAUGGGAGAGCCUGUAGUUUGGAGCUGUGUGCAAACCUAGGUGGGCUCCUGUGGCUGAUUAAACCACCCAUUUCUCAAGGGAGUGUGAAACUGUUUAUCUCAUUUGUGUGGAGAGUGGAGAGUCUUCCCACUAAGACUCAGGAAGAUGGACUCUUUCCUCUGGGAUGACUUUGGGCCCAGGAUACAGAACAGGGCCAUGGAGCAGAUCAUCACACCCAUGACGGUCCGGCUUUGUCAGCUGCUCAUCUCGGUGGAGAGGAAAGAGGUACAGAGAGAAGCACUUGCCUCCUUGCAGAAGGUGGCAGAGGAACUGGCCAAUGCAAGUGAGGCAUUUGUGCAUGCUGCCAGCAGGCUGGCCGGAGACUCCGAGGACGAGUGGUUUAGGGAGGAAAUGAAGCCAGUGGCGGAGUCUCUGAUCCUCUCUGGGAGGAACAUCCUGCUGGUAACCCAGGAGCUCCCCGUGCAGCCGGAGUGUCAGCGCCACUGGGAGGAGCUAGUGGCCACAACUCAGCAGAUCCUGGUGAACACUACCAAGCAGGUCUUACUGCUUGAAGACGCAGCAAUGGCGAGGAAGACGGUGCCAGCGGCUGGUUGGUGUCUGGCGUGCCUGGAGGCUCUGGAGGCGGCGGAGGACUCCACCUCGCUGCGCACCUCGCUGUCUGACCUGGCGGCUGCGCUGCAGCGACUGGGCGGCCUGACAACGCGCUGGGCCCGGGACGAGCGCCUGGGUCGAGUUCGCCACCGGCUAGGGUGCUGCAUCCCAGCGCUGCUCGCAACCGCCCGCGGCCACCUCCGGCACCCACAGGAGCCGCAGCUGGUGGCUUCACGGCGCCGCGUCUUUGCCCUGACCAGGCAGAGCCUCAGGGAGCUCCUGGCUGUACUGCAGCCCGGCAUCGCAGGGCCUGGUGCGCGCUCUCAGAAUGGCGCAUUGGCACAUCGUCUGCAGAAGCUGCGACAGGUUCUGGAGGAGCCCGGGCCGAGUCACUUGCGUGUCGGGUUGCUGGAUGCGCCAAUGGUCGCCGUGGUGUGGCACUGCCUGCACCUAGCCGCCUGCUCCGCACCAAGGGAGAGGAUGCACCUAGUGUCCCAUUGCCGCCAGCUGCUACAGCUCCACCCUGGGCUGCACCGGUCUCCCCAGAUCAGCCCAGGGACAGAAUGCGAAGCUGUGCGGGCCGCGACUGAUGCGCUCUUUCGGGGAGUCCGUGCUGGAUUACUGAGCCAGAUUCUGGACACGUUCACAGAUACCCAAAGUCCUCUAGAGAGGCUGGUCCAGGCCGCCUUGGCGACUUCCACCAUCAGGUCCCAGUGCAAUAGCGAAGCCUUGGCAGAGACUUUGCGACUUCUCCUUGAUGCUUUUCACAACCAAGCCAAGCAAAUGAUCCGAGUGGCACACUUGGUUUGGGUCUGCUGCCCCCAACAGCAAACCGGCAGAGACCUGGAGGCUGCCGUGGCAGGUCUUUGGGGGCUUGUGGUCAAAGCGAUGGGACUCUUUUCACAAAGUCCCCAAACGCAAGGCCUGGACUGGAGCCCUGACAUCCUGCAGGCUCUGCUUGAGGCCUGGGCCAGGGAAUCCGAACACCUCUUGGCAUGCUUUGAUGUCGUUCUCGAUAUUCCUGAAUUCCUGAGUUUGUCCAUCCAGGAAAUGACUAAACACUUGGACAUGUACACAAGGGCUCUGAGGAGCGGCGCACCCAGAGAGUUUUCCAGACCUGUGGCGUUCUUACGCGGAAGAGCCACACACAUAGUGCAGGUGAUGAGCAGGUACGUGGGUCAAGACCCAGAUCCCAUUUUUCGAAACGGGAUGAGAGUCGUGGUUCAGCAGCUGGCGCAGUCUUCCUUGACGCUGGCUGCAGCCACUGAAGGCAGCACAGGCGGGGACAGUGCCCAGGACACAGGUGCCUUUUUAACUAUGGCAAAACACCUCAUCUAUUCGGCUCAGCAAGUCCACCAGGGGCUGGAUGGGACCAAUCACCCAGACAUCCUCAGCCCGCUUCGAUUCCAAGUCCAAAGGUUUGACCUUGCCAAGAGAUGGCCUUAUGUGGGUCUCCCCAGCCUCCAGCAUUCUACAGCUCCCGCGCUGAAAUACCAGCAGGUGCCUGGGUUAGGGAGAAAUGACACGAACACCGCUUUCCUACCACUAGAACAACUUUCCUACACAGUGGUCCCUGACACCUGCAAACAGGGGUGGGGCUCUCCAUUCCUUGCUGUCAGCAAAGUCAUCACUACCGUGGAGAACCAGGAGCACCUGGUAGUAACCUCACCACGCACCAACAUGCCAGAGCCAGAACGCACUGUGAAUAUAGCCCCAGAAAUCCAGGCUGGGGAAGAACCCCUGGGACCAGAGAGGAUGUCAAGACUAUAUAAAUUCUCAAGAGUGGUACCUUCGGUUACUGACCUAGUCAGGGAGGAAGUCCAUAGCACAAGCAUUAGAAGUGACAGACUUCUGGAAGUGGCUUUUCAGCAGUCUGGGAGGACCAGGGAAGCCAGGCAGGCUUUGGUAGCCAGGGCUGGUGACUGGUACCCUCUGUGUCGACAACUCUUUUGCCGUAGCCCAACCACAGAAUUACCGGGGAGCAUGGAAGUGUUUGUGGAACUUCAGCAGAAUUUGGCCUCAAUGGUUCAAGUAGCAGCCAAAAGUGGUUCUGUGCAUUUGGACGAGAAGAGCCCAAUGAAGGACCUGGGAAUGAUUUUAGAGCUGCAAGGUAGACUGGAAAAAACAGAGGUCCAUGCUAAACAGCUAUUAGACCAAGUUCUGUCCUCUGAUGAUCGCCAAGCCUCCAAGUUGAGGGACGAGAACGUUGACAAUGAAAGCCUUCUGUGGGCGGUGGCUGUGCAGGACCUGAUGCAGUGCAUGGGGAGGCUCAGCAGGAGACAGGGCCUGUUCCUACUGCCCCUGCAGCAAGCAGUGAAGAGCCAGCAAGGGUUGCAGGAAGGGUUAGAGCAGGCAGCACAUGUUUCCCAAAGGUUACGAGAGGCUGCUGAGCUGUCUCGUGUUCUGUGUGGUGAUGAGCAGGUAAAAGAUGAGGUCUCUUUUCUGUGUCGAGAAGUUCAUGUACUCACAGAUGCCUUGUUGGAGGUGGCACACGUUUUGGUCUCCUCCCCCAAGCCAUGUCCCAGCCUUUCCACACGCUUUGAGCUUCUCUGCUUGGAACUCAGCCUGCGAGUCAAGACCCUGACCAACCAUCUGAGUAGCAUCAAUGCUGACUAUGAGCAUAUGUUCCAAGAUGCUGUUGGCAAGAGCUCCCAGACAAGGAUGCUGUCUAUUAUCCAAACUGUGCAGGGAAUCAUAGCAGGAAGUCAAGAGUCUGGACCCUUCCAGGAAGACCUUCUUGUGUCUCUAGAGAACAUUCUCCUGCUCACUAAGGAGGUGGCCGAGAGGGUCCCUGAGCUCCAAGAACACCCAGAGGAGCAGGGGUUGCAUAUGCCGGACUGGCUUAGGUGGGAAUGGGCAGCCAAGGUCCACCAUGCAGUGACUCAGCUCCAGGCCUUGGAAGGUGAUCCCACUGAGGCCUGGAGACUCCUGGUCCAAUGCCUGAAACCCGGGGAAGAGCCAGCAAAUGCCCCAGAAGAGGUCCUUGUCCAGCUCCAGCUGCAGUGUAAAGAAUGUGCAGUAGAAACCUCUGCAGGGGGCAGUGUGGAGUUUCAGGAUGCUGUUCCCAAAGGCACCACAGAAGUCUCAAUGGGGACCUGUGCUGAUGAGCUAGCCACCACCGGAACCACCACAGCAGACCUGAGCAUGAAGCAGAUGACCAGCAACAGCCAAUUGUGAUGGAUCAUCUACAGUAAACUCACCCCUGUCUGCUACACCCGGGAGGAGCACGGAAGCACAUUCCAAAAACAACUCUGUGGUUUUGGGGAAGCCGAGGUCACAAGACUCCUGUUUUCUGGCAUUCUCUCACAAGCACUCAGAAUCCCCUUGCAUGACUCCAUUCUUGGACCGUGUUCUGACAAUCCAGGAUUUGAUAGAGAAGUCACCUCAUCUAUCCCCACCGUGACCUUACGGAUGGCUAAGCACAAUCUCCCAAAACUCCAUAGGGCUUUGCCCAGGAGAAAGCUGACCAUGCCACCCCCAUGCUGUUCUCUCAUCAAAAUGUCACUUCCACGCAAGGGGACUCCGUGACCCAACAGCUUUAGGCUCGUCUGCUCAUCUCUCAGUCUCAUAAAUCCAAACAGCCUCCAGACUUCUCUCCCCUUCCCUGGCUCUCUGUAGCCAUCAGCACACACUACUGACGCCACCCACUCACCGACUUGCCUCCGGUUUCUGUCAAUGCAUCAGAAGUGUCUCCCAUAGCUGCAAGGCAGGGCGGCAGGGUAGGGAGACGCCGGGUAGCCAGCUUUCAGACUCUGGGUCUAGAGUCUCUAUCACACAAUCCUCGGCCCAUGUUGAAAAGUUUGGAGUCCUAUCUAGAUUUGAUUGCUGAAAGUCUCUGCACCAGCGCGGCAGCCCCUCUCUGCCUCCUGCUCAGAUGGACCAGAUUGUUCCAGAGGAUGGCGGUGCAGACAGCGAGAACAGAAUCACCCAGAUCACACAAGAGAUGGC